rnacentral:lncRNA from 10 species
AAAAUCACAGAGUUUAUUGGCUUUGUAAAACCUGCCACUUCAUCCUGACAACAUUUUGGAUCUAAGAAGUUAUAAGUUGAACAACUCAGCAUCAGUUGUUUUUACACUGAAGUGUUAUUUAAAAGAAGCAGAUACAGUCAACUUCACAAUUUUAUGAACACUUAAAAAAAAUGAAUUGACAAGAAGAGACAGAGUCUCACUCUCUCCCAGGCUGGAAUGCAAGUGGUGCCAUCAUAGCUCACUGCAGCCUCGAACUCCUGGGCUCAAGGGAUCCUCCUGCCUCAGCCUUCUGGGUGACUAGGAGUACAGGGCCAGUGAAGGUGACAUUGCAGCAUUCAGCUCACGGCCUUCAGAUUCAUGGAAAUAAAAGUGACCAAAAGCAAGAGGGUUGCUACAUCUGGCAGACCUGAUCAGGUUAACCCCUCAGUUCCAGGUUUUCAGAAAUGACUUCCUAAGUACAUUGCAGAGCAGAAGUACUGAAAGAGCUUCUGUCUCUUUCAGAGCUCCAGAGCACCACCCCACUGUGCCUCAUUCAGGAAGUGCUGUGAUCAAGAAACCACUACUGCUGCUGGUGCCAGGACUGUGAUUCCCAUCAACAGCACUGAUGGCCUGCACCUCACCUCUGACACCCAUGGGACUCUUGUAUGUGGACACCAGAAAGUCUGCUAAUUCUGGAACAAAAACCUGAAAUGUCUCCAUGAGAUGGACUGCUGAAAGAAAUAGAAAACCACAGAGGUGAGGCCUCCACCGUACUUCCAAAUGCUGUAUUGCACAUGGAAUGCAUUUGAUUUGUCAGAUCAAUCACUUUCAGAAUCCAAGCUGCAAAGGAGUUUUGGAAACACAGACCAGAGUUUUCCAGCCUCUGUCAGACGAGAAGGCUAAAAAAGAUUGGAAUGGAUGAUGGGCAUUCAUAUUCACAUAAAUUCGACUUCUAUAUAUGUGAUGAUGUCUUCUUUCUUUUUUAAGAUUUAUUUUAUUUUCUUGUAGAGACAAGAUCUUGCUUUGUUGUCCAGGCUGUACCACA